GAACGCUGGCGGCGUGCUUAACACAUGCAAGUCGAACGAUGGAGCCCAGCUUGCUGGGUGGAUUAGUGGCGAACGGGUGAGUAACACGUGAGUAACCUGCCCUUGACUCUGGGAUAAGCCUGGGAAACUGGGUCUAAUACUGGAUAUGACUUCUCAUCGCAUGGUGGGGGGUGGAAAGAUUUAUUGGUCUUGGAUGGACUCGCGGCCUAUCAGCUUGUUGGUGAGGUAAUGGCUCACCAAGGCGACGACGGGUAGCCGGCCUGAGAGGGUGACCGGCCACACUGGGACUGAGACACGGCCCAGACUCCUACGGGAGGCAGCAGUGGGGAAUAUUGCACAAUGGGCGCAAGCCUGAUGCAGCGACGCCGCGUGAGGGAUGACGGCCUUCGGGUUGUAAACCUCUUUCAGUAGGGAAGAAGCGAGAGUGACGGUACCUGCAGAAGAAGCGCCGGCUAACUACGUG
rnacentral:rRNA from 1 species